rnacentral:rRNA from 1 species
AACUCUUGUUUUUUCAGUGUAUUCUGAGUGGCAUAAGCAAAUAAUCAAAACUUUCAGCAACGGAUCUCUUGGUUCUGGCAUCGAUGAAGAACGCAGCGAAAUGCGAUAAGUAAUGUGAAUUGCAGAAUUCAGUGAAUCAUCGAAUCUUUGAACGCACAUUGCGCCCGCCAGUACUCUGGCGGGCAUGCCUGUCCGAGCGUCAUUUC